ACCGAGCUUGGAAGGAGGAGGAAAACAAGAAGAAAAGAAAAGACACAGAGGGAGGAGGACUGAGGAGACUGGAGAGAGAGAGGACCCCUGGCGGGAAAAAGGCCGCACCUUGCUACAUCCUAAAACCCUACUCUCUUACUUCAAUAACUUCAUACAACUAACAAAAAGAAACUCUCAAGUUUUACAAAGAAUCAAUAUUUUUCGCCGGAAAAUUCAAAAAAAUGCCGUCGUUUCCACAACCAGGCACCGUCACCAUCUGCGAAAUCAAUCGCGACCUAAUUACUUCUGAUAAUUUAUCCGACGAUCGAGCUAAAGAUACCUAUGCCAAACUUCUCGGAGUUGUAUUUAGUCCUGUGCAAUUUGAACCGGAAAGUUUGUCGUUGUCGAGUUCGGUUAACACCGGUGAUCAGCAAGGAAGAGUUCCGGAGAAAGGUUUGACAGCUUUGAUUGGUGCUGUGAAACGGAUUUUUCAUCCUAAUGAUGUACAUUUGCUACCAGAAGUGAAUUUACAAGGAGUAUCUUGGCACCAACACAAGCAUAUAUUGGCAUUUAUAUCGGGUCCAAAUCAGGUUACAAUUCGUGAUUAUGAUGAUGCUGAAGGAAAGAAUCCAAGUAUUUUGCAUGGUGAUUUUCAGAGAGAAGUCAAACUUGUUGAGUGGAGGCCAAACAGUGGGAGAACACUUUCUGUAGCAUGCAAGGGUGGAAUCUGCAUAUGGGCUGCUUCAUAUCCUGGCAAUCCAGCAUCUGUGAGAUCUGGGGCUACCACUUUUGUGGGAUCCAUUUCCAAGGGUUCUGGCACGAGAUGGACACUGGUGGAUUUUCUGAAGAGUGAGAGUGAUGAGCACAUAAGUGCACUGUCUUGGAGUCCUGAUGGAAGGUACUUGGCAACGGGGUCAUACGAGAGCUCAGCUUUUACAAUUUGGGAUGUUUCGCAAGGUCAUGGGACUCCUAUUCGACGAGGAUUGGGAGGCAUAUCAAUCUUGCGAUGGUCACCUACUGGAGAUUACUUUUUUGCAGCUAUGUUUGAUGGAACAUUUUAUUUGUGGGAGACUGGAACUUGGACAUUUCAACCAUGGUCUUCAAGUAAUGGCUUUGUUACGGGGGCAACAUGGGAUCCUGAUGGGCGUAUGAUAUUGCUUGCCUUCUCUAAGUCCUCCACAUUGGGAUCCGUUCACUUUGCAUCAAAGCCUCCGUCUCUUGUUGCGCACUUACUCCCAGUUGAUCUGCCAGAGAUAGUAACUCUAACGGGCAGUCAAGUAUUUGAGAAGAUAGCUUGGGAUGCUUCAGGAGAACGUUUAGCCGUAUCUUUCAAAGGUGGAGAUGAAUUAUACCAGGGUCUUAUAGCGAUAUAUGAUGUUAGGAGGACUCCUUUGAUUACGGCAUCUCUAGUUGGAUUUAUCAGAGGGCCUGGAGACAAUCCCAAGCCAAUUGCAUUUUCUUUUCAUGACAAGUUUAAACAAGGACCUUUGCUAUCUGUGUGUUGGAGCACCGGUUUCUGCUGCACCUACCCCCUUCUAUUUCGUUCUCACAUUCUUCCUUAAUUGAGUUUUGUUAGGCUAUAUGCUGUCCUUGAUCUUGUUUUGUGGAGAGAGUCCCUGGUAUAAUGUACAAGACCUUUCUUUUCCGAGUAUGGUAAAUUCUGAAGUACUCCAAACGUCAUCUCUCAUUUCUACUCCAUUUUCUCAUGGGCAAAUAUAUGAAGAAGUUCAAAACGUUGUCUAAUUUAUAUCCUUCAGCUAAGCAAGCAACUGCAACAUCUAGCAUACAAGUUCCUUGGCAUUUCUGAGUUUUAGGACCAUGGCAGACAAGUUUCCUAGUUCAAGUAUACUGUGCAUCUCGAAAACACCAAAGACAACAGGAUUCCAUGGCUUCCUUGGUUUGCUGUGCUUUAACUGUACAAUUAAAUAGGAACAUUAUUUAAAUUCUAUAGAAAUUUUUGUAUCUUCUGUCCAGUUUUUUGCACUUCUGAUGAUAUGCAUUAUUUUGAGGUUAAGGCUCUACUGCCA